AGAAGGCUUUGUGAAGAAAGGACAGGAGGCAGCUGGGCUCAUAUCCUUCAGGGCCUCGGACCCCAGGAAACAUUUGGAUUUUAUUAUCAGUGCAAGGGAAAGCCUUGCAGGAGUUAGGCUGGGGAUGACAUCGCCUGAUUUCUGUUUUGAGGUCACGUUUGCUGCUGUAUGGAGAAUGGACAUAGGGAGACCAGAUCUGCUGCUGGAAAUGCUUCUCUUGCAGAAAUGAAAUUUCAAGAGUGCUUAAAUAUCAGGAGAGGUUUGGUGAGAAAAACAUCCUAGUUGGAGAAAUUAUGGAAUUUUUUAGCAGAUUUACUGUUUUUCCCACUGAGACAUAGUGAAAGCCUUGUGCAGAGAAACUCAACCAUGCCUGAGAGUUCUGCCCUGAUCUAUUUGUCAGGACACUGACCAUGAUAUAUUUGAAAGGAGCUC